UUUGUGGGGCUCAGAACUCAGUCCAACUUUCGGGUUUUGAAGUUUUGAAACAACUUGAAACCUUGCACGUUGCCAGUUUUGGAUCCGUGUGUUUCAAAAAUUCUUGAUGAAAGGAUGGUGGGUUUCUGGGAAAAGGAGCAGCGGAAGAUCAGAUAAGGGGCCCUGGACCACCGGGAUGUCCGACUUCUGCAGGGCCCGUCCCUCUCAGUCACCUUCUCUACUUUCUCUCCGCGCCCCAAAUGUGCUCCAGAUGUGCAAAAGCAGCGUGCGAGGUUUAAGCAUGGAUAUUGAGCUCAGUUCUUGGAAGACUGAAGAACAACUUAGGUGGGCAAAUCUACCUCUGCUGCUGCUGCUGCUGCUAAGUUGCUUCAGUCGUGUCCGACUCUGUGGGACCCCAUAGACGGCAGCCCACUAGGCUCCCCUGUCCCUGGGAUUCUCCAGGCAAGAACACUGGAGUGGGUUGCCAUUUCCUUCUCCAAUGCAUGAAAGUGAGAAGUGAAAGUGAAGUCUACCUCUACAACUGUCAAUUUUAUGAACUCUCAGUACAGUCCAAACAUUUCUGGUGAAACUUUAUCGUCCUCAUUGAGAUGAGCAGUAAAGGUCAAGGACUUACUGGAUUUCCAAGACUCAGUAGGAGAACAAGAAGGUGAGAAUGCAGAAUACAACUAAUGGAGCGGGAGGGGCUGUUGGUUACAUGUCGAAGUGGUAAUAUCUCAGAUAUAUUGAGUUCCAUAUAACAAAUUAUAAAUUCAUUAUACCUGUUUCCUUUCACUUUUAGUAAUGUGGCUGCUGGAAAAGUUGCUGUUGCCUUUAUGGCUCACACUGUGUGUCUAUGAGACAGGCUGGCAUAGGACUUGCAGGAGUCAACCUUGUUCUGAGCACCCCCAGUAGAUUUAAGGGGUAACUUUGUCUCUACCCCAGAGCAUCUGUAGUGGAAACUUUGCUCUGAAAGAAGCAGGAAGUGUCCCGGGUGGGCUCUGAGUGUUUGCUUAUUGCUUGUGUAUUCAGUGGCAACUAAGAUGGUGUUAACCUUGAGCUGUGUGAAGUGUGACACUCAUAUGUUCAAGGUCAUGAGUGGAGAUUAAGCGUUAAAAAUGGCUGAUGUGGGAUGGUAUGGGGAAGGAGGAGGGAGGAGGGUUCAGGAUGGGGAACACAUGUAUACCUGUGGUGGAUUCAUUUCGAUAUUUGGCAAAACUAAUACAAUAUUGUAAAGUUUAAAAAUAAAAUAAAAUUUUUAAAAAAUGGCUGAUGUGGU
ensembl:lncRNA